rnacentral:rRNA from 1 species
AUGAAUAUGAAUGAUUUCGACAACUUUCAUAUCAUUGACACAGAGGAUGGCAUUGUUGGUCUUGUCGCCUUGUCUCGCCUUGACCUUCACAUGUGGCGGAGGAAGGUCAAUUGUCGGGGUGUUGCCAUAUGGUUGCUGCAGAAGACUGUUUCAUUGCGUGAACUUCUUAAGAUCCCUUCUUGGACUAUGAGAAGGAUUGAACCGCUCAAAGUGGUGGGUUAUGAUGAGGAUGCCGAUGUAAUCUUUUUAGAGAGGCACGAUAGUGUGUAUAUGGUUCAGCCAAAGUCAAUGCAAGCCAGGAAACUUAAUGGAGUCAGCUCUACAUAUUACUGCUAUACUUUAGCGAGUAUCUGUCCACUAGGUGAUUGA